rnacentral:rRNA from 1 species
GACGAACGCUGGCGGCGUGCUUAACACAUGUAAGUCGAACGGAAAGGCCCUGCUUUGGUGGGGUGCUCGAGUGGCGAACGGGUGAGUAACACGUGAGUAACCUGCCCUUGACUUUGGGAUAACUUCAGGAACCUGGGGCUAAUACCGGAUAGGAGCUCCUGCUGCAUGGUGGGGGUUGGAAAGUUUCGGCGGUGGGGGAUGGACUGGCGGCUUAUCAGCUUGUUGGUUGGGUAGUGGCAUACCAAGGCAUCGAAGGGUAGCCGGCCUGAGAGGGUGACCAGCCACAUGGGGACUGAGAUACGGCCCAGAGUCCUACGGGAGGCAGCAGUGGGGAAUAUGGCACAAUGGGCGGAAGCCUGAUGCAGCAACGCCGCGUGCGGGAUGACGGCCUUCGGGUUGUAAACCGCUUUCGCCUGUGACGAAGCGUGAGUGACGGUAAUGGGUAAAGAAGCACCGGCUAACUACGUG